rnacentral:rRNA from 1 species
AGUGAACGCUGGCGGUAGGCCUAACACAUGCAAGUCGAACGGCAGCACAGUAAGAGCUUGCUCUUACGGGUGGCGAGUGGCGGACGGGUGAGGAAUACAUCGGAAUCUACUUUUUCGUGGGGGAUAACGUAGGGAAACUUACGCUAAUACCGCAUACGACCUACGGGUGAAAGCAGGGGAUCUUCGGACCUUGCGCGAUUGAAUGAGCCGAUGUCGGAUUAGCUAGUUGGCGGGGUAAAGGCCCACCAAGGCGACGAUCCGUAGCUGGUCUGAGAGGAUGAUCAGCCACACUGGAACUGAGACACGGUCCAGGCUCCUACGGGAGGCAGCAGUGGGGAAUAUUGGACAAUGGGCGCAAGCCUGAUCCAGCUAUACCGCGUGGGUGAAGAAGGCCUUCGGGUUGUAAAGCCCUUUUGUUGGGAAAGAAAAGCAGCAGGUUAAUACCCCGCUGUUCUGACGGUACCCAAAGAAUAAGCACCGGCUAACUUCGUG